GACGAACGCUGGCGGCGUGCUUAACACAUGCAAGUCGAACGAAGAGCGACGGAAGCUUGCUUCUAUCAAUCUUAGUGGCGAACGGGUGAGUAACGCGUAAUCAACCUGCCCUUCAGAGGGGGACAACAGUUGGAAACGACUGCUAAUACCGCAUACGAUCUAAUCUCGGCAUCGAGGAUGGAUGAAAGGUGGCCUCUACAUGUAAGCUAUCACUGAAGGAGGGGAUUGCGUCUGAUUAGCUAGUUGGAGGGGUAACGGCCCACCAAGGCGAUGAUCAGUAGCCGGUCUGAGAGGAUGAACGGCCACAUUGGGACUGAGACACGGCCCAGACUCCUACGGGAGGCAGCAGUGGGGAAUCUUCCGCAAAGGACGAAAGUCUGACGGAGCAACGCCGCGUGAGUGAUGACGGCCUUCGGGUUGUAAAGCUCUGUUAAUCGGGACGAAAGGCCUUCUUGCGAAUAGUGAGAAGGAUUGACGGUACCGGAAUAGAAAGCCACGGCUAACUACGU
rnacentral:rRNA from 1 species